rnacentral:misc_RNA from 1 species
GCAGUUGAAAAAACAGGUGAACUGGAGCAAUAUCUAAACGGAGGCUAAAAUCCUAGAGAGGGCUAAACCCCAUUAAUAUCAAUAAAUAGCUCAAUAAUUAAAAAAGAAUUGUGAAUCUAUUUCGAGAAAGUAAAUUAUUUAGAUAUUUUUUAUGAGAGUGGAUCCGAACCCCACACUUAGAAUUCAAACAUCAAGCCUCCCUCGCUAUUUUAGUCUUAAAAUCAAAUUAAUAGCCAAUCUCAACAAUUUACAAGGCCAUAGAGGUGCAAUAAAGCAUCAAGAAAAAGAAACAUUAGAGAAAAUCUAACAAAAUAGAUAAACAUCUCUUUCAGACCAACAAAAUUUAACAAAUUCAAUGCUCCAUCAAUCACAUCAAAUAUAUAAAAUGAUGUGAUAAAAAUUUAUUCUAAGAUUCAGGCUCCCAGGAAGUGAGAGUAGGGAAUGAUGCAUUAUAACUUCUUCCAAAUCAAAAGAUUUAGAAACAGAACAAGUUCACUGCUGAUAUAAGGAGUUUCCCACAUCAAUCACAAACCGGUACUUGACAUCAGAUUUGGCAAGCCUAUCCAUGGCUGUGUUGAUUUCAUCCAUUCUGAUCACUUCAACGUCUGCAGUUAUAUUGUGCUUUGCACAGAACUCCAGCAUCUCCUGUGUCUCUAUUGUCCCUCCUACGUUGCUUCCUCCAACAAGCUUCCUACCUGAAAGAAUUAAAUGGUUUACAUAUAGAUUUUAAGGCCAAGUCAAAUUUAAAAGGAAUUGCUUCCAAGGAGUUCCUACUAGUAAAAAAAUCCUACCAUUUUCUUGGAUUUCAUAUUUUAUCCCCAUCAUAAAUCAGGAUCUCAACAGGGUGACUUUGGUAUAUUGGUAAAGUUAUAUCAUUUGUGACUCGAAGGUCACGCGUUCAAGUCAUGAAGCCCAAAAGUUAGUGCACUAGAUCACCCGCUUUUUUUAUAAAUCAGGAUCUCAUAAACAUUAACAAAACGAAGAUGUCCAAAAAUCCUUUCUUAUGUAAACUACUUACUGGUUCCAUACAUUUAAUUUUAAGGAUUAAUAAUAAUCAACUUACCUAAAACUAGUGGAAAAAUAGGCAGAUCCAGGGGCUUGUUAGGUAAGCCCAAAGUGAUAAGCUUUCCAUUUGCCUUCAGCAGACUAAGAAGUGGUACCAGGGAAUGAGCUGCAGACACUGUAUCAAUGAUGUAAUCCAUAGUACCAAUAGCUCCCUGCACAACAUCAACGCAAAUCAACAGGAUCUCUGAUAGAUGAUAAUAAUAUGCGCUUAUGAAUUUGAUUUCUCAAUCUAUAAUUUGAUAAAAUAUUGCAGAUUCAAAAUCUUAAAUUGUAAGGCAAAGUGUAAUACGUUCAAACCAUGCCUAUAAUGAUAUCCUUUUCCAGAUUCAUUUUUAAUUUCAAAUUGUGUAUAAUUCACAAGCUAGGAUGUCACAUACCUUCAUUUUUCCUGGGUCACUGCUAACAAGGAACGCAUGAGCACCAAGUCUAUUAAUUGCUUCACUCUCCUUACCUGGUGAGGAACUAAUGACAGUAACUUUCAAACCAAAGGCCUUAGCAAUCUUCACAGCAACAUGGCCAAGACCACCAAGCCCUACUACUCCCAAAUGUUUGCCUGGUUCAGUCAUUCCAUAAUAUUUCAUUGGGCUGUACACUGUGAUCCCAGCACAUAAUAGUGGUGCACCCGCAUCAGCAGGUAAGCUAUCAGGAAAGUGAACCACAAAGCGCUGAUUGACAACAAUCAUGUCAGCAUAACCACCAUAAGUUAUUGUCCCAUCCUUGUCAAUGGAGUUGUAAGUAAAUACAAUUUUAGGGCAGUAAUUUUCCAGGUCCUGGUUGCAAUAUUCGCAUAACAUGCAGGAACCCACCAUAACCCCAACACCGACCCUAUCACCCACUUUAAAUUUCUUCACAUUGUUCCCAAUUUUUGUCACGGUACCAACAAUUUCAUGCCCUGGAACCAAAGGGUAAUGGGCAUUACCCCAUUCAUUCCUGCAAGAAUGCAAGUCAGUAUGGCACACACCACAGUACAGGAUUUUUACACUCACAUCUUCAUCACCAUUUUCCCUUCGGGAGAAAUGGAAGGGAGAUAGGAUCCCAGACGCAUCUUUGGCAGCCCAACCAAAAGCCUUUUGUACUUCUAAUGAUUUCGCCAUUUUCUCUGUUUCUCUAUAUUCACUCUCUCUGCAUUAGAAAUGGAGUACUGGUUUGAUAAUUAAUAUGCAGCACAAAGAUGAGCAGCAGAAAUGCCAGUGAUCAGAUGGAUAGGUAUAUUUAUAGCAAGGGAGACUCUAGAGUCUGUGAGAGAGAUUUUUUUUAUUUUUUUU